UCCACUCUUGGUUCUCUUCUAGAAGGCUCUCCACUUAGAGGCCAAUGUGUGCUGGUUAUCAAUUUAUGGCCUCUCAGCUUCAAAUCCAUAGUGCGUUGCUGGGUCCUUUAAAUAUUUUUGCUUUGCCAGCUGCAUGAUGCUAAACUUUGUCAGUAGAGGGCACUGGAGAGACACUGGAGGAGGGAAGGUUUCGUUCCUAGUCAGGCCCAUGCUACUCCACAGGCUCCUGCAGAGCGGGCGCGCGGCCUUUCCAGUGCCCGGCUUCUCCAGCACCAGAUUGUAAGCUCCUUGAGGAUGAGAACUGAGUUUUGACUCCCUGUAUAGCCCCAGUAUCUGGUACAUGUUACAGAGGCCUGUUACGAAGCACACGUUUCCAGCUUGUUCCAGUGUCUGGGUCCAACGAUUUUCCCUUUCCUUCCUCCAAUUAGCCACAAGAUGGCAGCCUAAGCCACGCUGGUACUUAAUUUCCUGUGAGGAAGAAGUGGUGCUUUGGGUUAAAAUGCCCUUCUCUGAGCCAGAAGAGGAUCCCUUUGAAGUGAGAUUAAGUCACACAUUACAGAAGAUUUCUCUGAAAAUGUCCUCUGCAUCUUCUCUUCUUCAUUGACUCUGAGGAACAAUCUGGAAUACUAACAAGCAAGACAAAGGAGAGAUUUUCUUCUCCUUGCCUGAGGGGCCGUUGGGCUAUUUAGAAAACAGUUCUAGGGAGAGCACGGAGCUCUGAGCUCUGGGAAACAAGGACACCGGGGUGCGGUGGGGGUGUGGGGGGGAGUAUUUACUGACCCCCUCGUCACACUGUUUUGUGUAAACUGUGAGUUCUAGAGGUAAGGUCUAGAGCAGGGGGUCAGCAAACUAUGGCCCUAGGGCCAAAUCUGGGGCUCUGCUUGAUUUCGUAAAUAAAUUUACUUGGAACGCAGCCAUGACCAUUUGUUGACAUGUCGUCAGUCUUUUGCACAACUGUGAAUAGUUGUGACAGAGACCAUUUGGUCUGUAAAGCCAAAAGUAUUUACUAUCUGGUCCUUUCAGACAAAAUUUGGGCCAUGUGGUCUAGAGAGAUGUGAACUUUUUAGAAGACUUAGUAUUUGGUUAGCAUAUUUUGGGGAAAUAAUAUCUGGUUACCUUUUUGGGGAAAGACCUGUCUUUCUUUCCAAGAAGCAAACA
rnacentral:lncRNA from 1 species